rnacentral:SRP_RNA from 1 species
GAUUGGGUCCUGCGCAACGGCGGGAUGCUAACUCCGUCAGACCCGGAAGGGAGCAGCGGUCGCAUCUUUGUCGUGUGAUGCAGGGUUGCCUGGUCGCC